rnacentral:tRNA from 1 species
ACAGUGGUGGUUCAGUGGUAGAAUUUCACCUUCUAUGUGGGAGACCUGGGUUCAAUUCCCAGCCACUGCU